CCCUUAGAUGUUCUGGGCCGCACGCGCGCUACACUGACGAUGGCAACGAGUUUUUCCUUCGCCGAAAGGUGUGGGUAAUCUUUUGAAACAUCGUCGUGCUGGGGAUAGAUCAUUGCAAUUUUUGAUCUUGAACGAGGAAUUCCUAGUAAGCGCGAGUCAUCAGCUCGCGUUGAUUACGUCCCUGCCCUUUGUACACACCGCCCGUCGCUACUACCGAUUGAAUGGUCCGGUGAGGCUUUGGGAUCUGAGCGGAAAGAGCGUUUCGCUGUUUCUGCCCGGAAAACUCAGUCGAACCUUAUCAUUUAGAGGAAGGAGAAGUCGUAACA
rnacentral:rRNA from 1 species